GGUGGGGAUGACGUCAAGUCCUCAUGGCCCUUAUAGGUGGGCUUCACACGUCAUACAAUGGUCGGUACAGAGGGUUGCCAACCGCGAGGGGAGCUAAUCCCACAAAGCCGAUCGUAGUCCGGAUCGCAGUCUGCAACUCGACUGCGUGAAGUCGGAAUCGCUAGUAAUCGUGGAUCAAGCAUGUCACGGUGAAUACCGUUCCCGGGUCUU
rnacentral:rRNA from 1 species